rnacentral:rRNA from 1 species
GAUGAACGCUGGUGGCGUGCUUAACACAUGCAAGUCGAACGGAAAGGCCAGUGCUUGCCCUGGUACUCGAGUGGCGAACGGGUGAGUAACACGUGGGUGAUCUGCCCUGCACUUCGGGAUAAGCUUGGGAAACUGGGUCUAAUACCGGAUAGGACCACUCCGUCGUUGUUGUGGUGGAAAGUUUUUUGGGUGUGGGUUGAGCUCGCGGCCUAUCAGCUUGUUGGUGGGGUAAUGGCUUACCAAGGCGUCGACGGGUAGCAGGCCUGAGAGGGUGUGCGGCAAAAUCGGAAGUGAGACACGGGUCAGGCACCUACGGGAAUGAGCGGUGGGGAAUAGUACACAAGCGGCGGAAGUCUGAAGCAUCGUCGCCGCGUAGGAGACGGCGGUCAGCGGGUUAUAAGCGCCUUUCGACAAGUACGCAUUUUGACGGUAUCUGGAGAGGAAGCCCCGGCUAACUACGUG